ACAAAAGGGGAGUAUGGGUAAAGACCCUGCAACACUAUUGGCACAAGCCUUAUUUACCCCUAAUUUUUAAAAUUUAGAUGACAAAUUUCAAUCAGCUGUAGAAAAGCACUUUGCUAAAACCUCUCAAGGCAUAAAACCUGCAGUUUUAUGGAAAGAUGUGAACAGUAAUAAAUGGUGUGGUCCAAAUGAAUUAUUAUCAUGGGGAAGAGGGUAUGUUUGUGUCCACACCCCCUCAGGUCCUCUUUGGAUUCCAGCAUGAUGCAUCAAACCAUACCAUGGUGUAGCUAGGACCGAAUCCGGUACCAGAAAUAAAGGAGUUAACCCUGCAAGACCCACAGCCCCGGACAAUGUGGCUUCCGCAGAUGACAUGAGGCCCACAUGUUACCUCGGGGAUGCUGAAGAGGACAACUCAGGAGGCUGAACGAAUCCUGCUCUGGACGCAAACACCAUUUACUCCAGAUAAUUUGUUUCUUGCUAUGUUUUCUGUUGUACACUGCAACUCAUAUAAGGAUGCAAAGCUGGAAUAAGAGCAAUGACUGCCAUGCCUGACAAACCUGUUGCUGCACACAUCUGCGCUCUCCAAUGCAAAAGACCUGAUGCAGAAAAUAAAAAAGUGGGGGAAUAUGGGGGUUCAGUCAGGCUGGUGGGAAAAAUUUUAGUUAUAAUAGCCACAAACCUUCUUGGAAGGCCUGAGAGUUUGCAUAACUUUGGUAAUAAAUCUGACUGAAGGCAGCCUAAUCCCCUUACCUUUAGUUAAAUAAAUUAGAGUAGAAACAAAGGAGUGUAGGGAGUUUAUCUAACUAAUUUGUUUAAUCACGUGGUCUUAAGACUAACCUUUGUUCUACUGAGGGUGCUUAAUUGCUUUCUACUUGGGAGGUCCACAAUGUCAAUUACACAAUGUCAAGUGUAGAAAAAUUGGAUGUUUCAAAAAAGAACACUGCCAGACCUCUGGGCAGAAGGGAGCUUAUAGCACAAUUCCCCUCUCAAAAGAAAAAACACCAGGACUUUGCCCUCAUUGCAAUAAAGGAAAUCAUUGGGCUAAUCAAUGCCACUCAAAAUUUCAUCAAAAUAGCACGGGAAGCGAAAAGGGGACCUGGACCCAGGCACUUCAAACUAUGAGGGCAUUCCCUGUCCAGGCCACAACUGUGUUUCAGGGGUGGGUUUCCAGAGGCACAUUGAUUCCCUCUCCUCAGGAACACCUGGAAACGCAGGAUUAGAUCUCCUAGAGAAAAAAUUAUGUUAAUUGAAAGAAACAAACUCGCUAAGAUUCCCGUUGGUAUUUGGGGGCCUUUGCUAACAAUAUACAUGGGACUGAUUUUGGUAAAGGCUGUCUUAACUUACAGGUCCAGGAGUUAUUGAUUUUGAUUGUGAAGGAGAAAUUCAGGUAGUGGUAAUGUCACAAGAUCUUUGGGUUUUGGAACCAGGAAAGUGUAUUGCUCAGUUGUUGCUUAUUUCCUGUAAAUUGUACUCUUCUCUAAGUAAGAAGAAGUGAGGAGGUCAGGGAUUGGGGAGGUACAUUUAGGAGAGAAAUUUAUCACAACCCAUAGCAUCUCAUAGACCCAAUUGUGCAGUGUAGAUUUAAGAAAGGAAGUUUUGUGGGCUUAUGGAUACAGGAGCAAGAGACUGGUCUCUUGUGGUAAUAGAUCUUGAGGAUUGUUUAUGAGAAGGAUAAGCCUCCAUUUGCUUUUUCUGUGUCUUCUGUUAAUCAGAAAGAGCCUGUCUUUCAUUAUCAGUGGAAAGUUUUACCCCGUGGCAAUUGGCUAAAGAGGCAGAAGCGGAGUUACAGAUGCUUCAGCAAUGGCAUGCCUCCUGGCUACAGCCACAAAAACCUUUGCUUUUGUAGAUUUACUAAUGCGGGGUAGAGAGUAUGCUUGUGUUUUUGCAGGAGAUGAACAAACCGUGUGGGUGCCCUCAAGAUGUGUGCGAUCAUGGAAAGGGAGACUGGAGGGACCCAUGGAUUCCAACUACAGGCCUGGUUCUCCCAGUACGAGCCAUGAGCCAGUUGAAUCUGAAUGCGAAAACAGAACGAGGUCUGACUGGAGUCAUGCUGACACCAACCCCCAUGACAUGGGGACAGAUCAAGAAAACCACACAGGAAGCUGAGAAACUGCUGGAGCAUCAGGGUUUUUUACCUUGUGCUGGAACUCAGAGGUACAAUCGAUGCUUAAUGGACCCGUGCUUUCUGACUGAGCUCCUCUCUACCCUGAAUACAAGAGAACCUAAUAGGCAGGAGUAUCUUCGCCCCUGUUCAGCAUGAAGAAGUUGCAGAAUAUGGACAUUCAUCUUUCUGCAACCCUUAGGAUUAAGGGUCCUCUUGUAAAAGGGAAGAGGGAAAUAUGUAAGAAGCAUUCAAACCAGAGUGACUCCAUUUUGAAUAAGGGCUAAGAAAAAUGAAGCUGGAUCACCAACUGGCAAUUAAGGGCUGCACACUCUGCAAUUGCCUUGCUCAAUUAAUUUAAAAACAAAAAGAAGGAGAUGUUGGAGGCCGCACAAAUGUUUCUUAUGAUUAGGCAUAAUUGAAGCCUGUUAGUAACAAUAUGAACCUGUGAUCAAUUAAGCACCUGACCAAUCAUUACCUCCUCCUUCUUGCUCUUGUUACCCAAUAAAUACGAAGUGCUGUAAAA